rnacentral:miRNA from 1 species
AGUUCUUCUCACUGUAGCGGA